GUCCACGCCCUAAACGAUGUCAACUGGUUGUUGGGGAAGGAAACUUCCUUAGUAACGAAGCUAACGCGUGAAGUUGACCGCCUGGGGAGUACGGCCGCAAGGUUAAAACUCAAAGGAAUUGACGGGGACCCGCACAAGCGGUGGAUGAUGUGGAUUAAUUCGAUGCAACGCGAAAAACCUUACCUACCCUUGACAUGCCAGGGAGCUUGCUGAGAGGCGAGUGUGCCCGAAAGGGAGCCUGGACACAGGUGCUGCAUGGCUGUCGU
rnacentral:rRNA from 1 species